CACACCUACCUACCUGCUCCCGGAGCUCUGAGUGGGACAGUCUGAGAAAGGAGACAGUAAAAUCACUGAGCAACUAUCAAGCCUCCUCGCUAAAAGGAGACCAAGCAAGGCCGUCCAGAGGAGCAGAAAGAAUUGACUUCGGCUCCGAAGUCCCACACACAGCCAGGGAACUACAACUGAUGAUAAAACUUUCCCUGUGAGCAAACAUUAACUCUCAGGAUACUCUGUGCAACAUAUUUUCAACUGCCUGCACCUGGUAAUAGGUAAUGAAACCUAUGUGCCGCCACUCCUGAUACUCACAUGGUGACAAAGGUGAAGAAACAGAAUAGUUGUGUUUAGAACCUGCCUUUGGAAAAGAAAAAAAAAAGAAGAAAAGGAACCUGCCUUUGGGAAUUGCCUUGAGCAGUGGGAGGUCAUUUUGUGACAGGUUCCUAUUAGUAGCUGACUAAAUGAAAGAGAAUCUAACUCACUUGCUUGACUUUUGUAUGUAUGUUUUUUAGCAAGUUUCCUUUAUAUGGACCACAUGAGAACUGUGCAACAGUUAGGAGAUCACCUAUGUUCUAUUGGAAUUACAGCCUGCCUUCCUGGAAGAAAAAAAAAAAUAAUGGGAGGAUAAUUUCCAAAAGAGACACCUUCUGGUCAUUUUCAGGGAUUCUGGAAGACCUAUCGCUAAGAAAUAUGUUAUCUAAGUGAAAACUUCAAUUCAGAAACAUGAACAGCAUGUUACUGCAGAAAACAAUGUUUCUCACAGACCACCUUUUCCUCCUUUUCAAAAGCAACAUGAAUUUUCAAGUUAUAGGUUAAACAAUAUCCAUGUCUUAGUUUAUUAACUUACUUGGAAGGGGAUGCUAGUCUAUGAUGUAUAGGAAAAGGUCAGUACUCAAAAUCUCUUACUAUUUUAUGUCAAGUUUCCACCAGGGGCUAUCUGGGUGGUGCAGUGGUUAAGCAUCCACGUUUUGAUCCCAGGGACCGGGAUCUAGUCCCACAUCAGGCUCCCUGCAGGGAGCCUGCUUCUCCCUCUGCCUA